AUUGAACGCUGGCGGCAGGCCUAACACAUGCAAGUCGAACGAGUGGCGGACGGGUGAGUAAUGUUUGGGAAACUGCCUGAUGGAGGGGGAUAACUACGGGAAACGGUAGCUAAUACCGCAUACCAUCAGAUGUGCCCAAAUGGGAUUAGGUAGUUGGGGGGGUAAAGGCUCACCAAGGCGACGAUCCCUAGCUGGUCUGAGAGGAUGACCAGCCACACUGGAACUGAGACACGGUCCAGACUCCUACGGGAGGCAGCAGUGGGGAAGAUUGCACAAUGGGCGCAAGCCUGAUGCAGCCAUGCCGCGUGUAUGAAGAAGGCCUUCGGGUUGUAAAGUACUUUCAGUGGGGAGGCGUUACCCGCAGAAGAAGCACCGGCUAACUCCGUGCCAGCAGCCGCGGUAAUAC
rnacentral:rRNA from 1 species